UCUGUCGAUCUCCGCCGGCGUAAUCGUGCGCCUCCUCCAGCCCUUUGACGGUCGCGCCCUCACCAUCCCCGCUCGAGCUCCGCCGUCUCCUCCACCCCAGCCGCCAUACACCGCACAAAAAGCGGCGGCCCGAGCUCCAUACCCUCCACUGCCACCUCUCUUUGUCACGCGCAGCGGUAGACUAGGGGCCUUCUGGCCGCCUCUCCCUCCUGCUGCAAUAUCAGAAGACCAUCGCGGAUCAGACUUACGAGGGAAUCGUGACAAGGUGAGUCGUUGUACCACUCCAUCGCGUGCAUCAGCUGGCGGAGCUCCACUCCAUCUCCUGUUGUACGGCGCCACCUCAUCCCCAGCCCGUCCUCACCGUGCGCAGUGGCCGGCCGGCCGGCUUAGUUUCUGCCCUCAUGCAUGGACUCAGCGGGAUUCAACGCUGUUUGAGGGGUUUGGGGCCUCGGAUGCGUCGCCGCCUGGAGUCGCUCACUGUUGUGUGGAGUUGCCUCACCACCGUGCCCAUUGUAGUUCUCAUGGUCUAACGGUCGUGAAAUUUACGCCCUCGAAACUUGGCUGAAGGCUAGAAGAUGAAGAUCGAUUGGUGUUGCAGAUUUGUUGUGCAGACCACAUGAUGCAGGUCAAUUCAUGUCUGUAUUAUUCCCUGUGUGUCAGCGUGUUCAAUUUUAGGAAAGGGCAUAAUACUGUGAGAGGUACUAUCAUCUCAGAGAGUCAGAGACUCUCCUAGGUGUGCCUUUAUUCAUACGAAGGUUGAUUUAUACGGAUCGGUUGACCCUGAUUUUGUUGGAUUUCAUGGGAAACAUUGAGAAGCUCGACCCUAGAGAGGGAUGCAUGAAGUGACUGGUUCUCGCUAUGGGAACUUUCAGUCUUGCAAUGGAGCCAAGAAAUUUCUUUGAAGUUCAUUUUCCAGAACCUUGAGUAAAGAUGAUCAGGCCAUCCAUGAGCCAGAGACAAUCCAGCUUUUGAGAAAUAUAGUUGUAAAUUGCAUAUAUACAUAUUGUAGCUUUUGAAAAUAUUUUCCUUUGAAAAAGAUUUGUGUUCAUCUAGAUCUCUGGUUUAUCAGAUUGGUUGAUGUCUGGUCUGGAUUGGUUCUCGUCUUCUUUUGAGGAAUAGUUGCAAAUCACAUAUGUGCAUAUUGUAGCUUUUGAGAAAUACUAGAGCUCUGGUUUAUAGAUCAUGAAAGAGCUUGCAAAAUCCUCCUUGCAGAUGGUGUUAGGGUUGCAUGCCAUCGACGCUCUCCCUCUCCGCCCCGGCUGGCCCUCAAGGUCUUGAGGUGUGCAACAUGGUGGCUGGCGAAUAUGCUCGAGUUCAACACACUGAAGUGUACUUAUCGGUUUGUUAAAGAAAUUUAUGAAUCCUGGGUGUUCUCUGUAUAGGCUCUGAAAAUCAUUUGCUUAUAGUGAUAUUUCACAUGAAUUUAUAUGAAUAGAGAUGGGGAAUGGUGUUCAGGAAGUUAUUGUAUAAUCUGUAGCAUUACAAUAUUAUUAUCAUUCUCUCUGCAAGAAGUUUAAUUCAUUACUGUUACCUUUUGGCCCGAAUGAUUUGUCAAGAAAAAUGAUUUUUCUUUGGCCAUGUAGAGUGAAUGCUAUUCUGAACUUCAAAAGCAGUUUGGAACAAGAACAUAAUUUUUAGAAUAUACUGAGAUCAUGGGGACCAUGUAUUCUCUACACUUGGGUUUGCAUCUUCUCUCUUCAGUGCUUUGAUGUGUUACAGACUGUUAAAAAUUAUUUUAGAUUUAUUGUUUGUAUAAAUGUUCUUGUGAGUUAUACCUUUUAGCUUUAGCCUUUGGUAUUAUACAUGUGUAUUUCGAUUAAUAGAUUGCUUUCAGGAUUAUGUUUUGGUGCUUUGGAUGUUCCAAUCUGUUGUUGCUUAUAUACUUAUUUAUUCUUUUUGUCACAUAGCGUUAUAGUUUAAAGGGUAGGUUUUUUUUAAUACUUCCAUGUUUGAAUAAUAAACUGUUCGCUGGGGGAUAAUAUCUUGCUUUCUUUUCAUUCAGAUGUGUAAUCCUUCAGUUUUUUGAGAUACGCCCCUUUAGUACAAUAUUAAUAAAUGGUAUUGACCUCACAUUAAGAGAGGUAACAGAAGUACUGGAUAGCAGAGAAAUAAAUUGAUCACAUUUCAGUUUAAACGCCACUAGAUUGUUACUAGUGUAGUGUGCUUAAAAAUUCUUAUAUGUCUCUUAUCGUCCAUCCAUUUUCCCGUGUUUCAUUGAAAGAGAUACCUUAUUUUACGAGGGGGUAUGGUCCGCACAUUUGACAUUUUUCUUUGUGCUUCCGGUAUUUGCUGCAUUUUAUAUGCUUUGUUCAUUGGGUUGUGAUUUAGGUACAAGCAGCAUACUUGAACCAAGGAUACUAUGUAAAUUGGUAUUAACUAUACAUUAUAAUGGUUAAUGUAAACUCUUGCAGGUGUCAGCAGAGGUUAUUAUGCAUCCUCUCAUGGGCAGCAACAAAAGGCCAUAGUCGACGCAAGUUUUGAACUUCAGAGGUCUUCACUGUUGGCCUCUCUUUCAUUUUGUCACUUGACCAUAUACUAUUUUAGUUCUUAGAUGAUUCAUUUUUUCUUUAAAUUCCUAGCAUAGAAUAAGUGGAGGAAAAUAUUUAAAAGCACAUUAGGUGAUAUUGAGGCUAAUUCCUAUGGCCAGGUGUACAGCUACAGGGUUUAAAGUAUUUUCUUAUCUUUGAUGAAAUUGUCCGUAUUAUCUUUGUGUGCUCUUUAUCUUUUCUCAGAUUAUUAUGAUAUGAAAAGAAGAAACUAUAUUUUUCUUAUAAUGGCGUGAUGGUUCAGUUUUUGGGUAGCAUAGAACACUACAAAAAGAAGGGUAACAAUACAGAGAUACAAGUAUGCGGAAAGCUGAUCAAAGGGUAGAUAACUGUCAAACCUGCUCUUGCAUCACUGGCAGGAGAAUACAUGUUAUUCUCUCUCCGCUCCUGGACACAAUCAGUUGUGAUUUCAUAUGAACAGUAGAAAUUGUAGUUGAAAUCCAUUAGAGCUUAGCUGUUUAUCCGUAAACUGUCAUAGAUGGUAGCACUAUACACAUAUCACAACAAUAAUCUACUUAUUCUACAAUAUUUAAAUGCAGUCUAUAGCUUUUCUGCGAGGCAUUGUUCAGCAUGUGGUGUCGAGUGUUGCAAUCUGAUUUUUUUUGGUCUCGCUGCAGUCUAUAGCUUUUCCCAAAUGGACAUAUCAACUGCUUUUGUUACUAGAAGAAUGGUAGAAAUUAUACGUGAAGGUCACGUAUGAAUUUGCAGCUGGCAAUGUGAUCCUAAUGUGUAUUAUAAAAAUCAUUUGCAUCAGCUUGGUUUAAUAUUUUGAAUUACUUUGUAGUUACCAAAGAACAAAACUGUAAAACCAGCCAGAACCAUCAGAUUUCAGAGAACACUUAACACACAGGACAAAUUAAAGGGGAGGGAUUGGGGGAUAAGAUCAGACACGAGGGAAAAAUUGCAAUUUUUCAUGGUUUACAAGCAACACUAAAAUACAGAGGAGCAUCACUAUACCAGGAAUCCAAAGGUGCAGGCCAUUAUAAGGAGCACCGUUGUGUUUUAAACGCGAUGAGUUAAUAUGUGUUCCUCCUUUCUAGAAUACCUCUCUUAGUUCACUCUUGAUUCCCUUCUUUCUGUAGCUCGACAUGGUGGGAAGUCAAACUCGCUGACAAAGCAGCGCUUGCUGUCACACUCAUAGGCCGAGGGGUGAGGCGAAGCUUACGUUGUUGAGGAUUGUGGUGGAACCAUGAGGUAGGCGGCAAUGGACAUGUUUAAGCCAUGGACGUUGUUGAAAUUCCAUCCAGGGUCAUGAUCAAGGAAGCUUCCAAAGCAUGUUGUACUAAUGACGAUUUACAUAGUGUUUCACCCAUUGAAUAAUUUUGUUCACCUGAUAUUUGAUUACCAUCGAUUUCUGCAUAUGCUUUAUAAGACCAAAAUAUUCCUCUAAUUCCCUGAUUGUACAUAAAUAUGUGCUACUCCCUUCUUGAUUUAGUGUGUUUUAUCCUGAUUUCAUUA